rnacentral:tRNA from 3 species
GCGAGGGUAGGAAAGCCCGGCCAACUCCGACGGACUUAAGAUCCGUUCCUGCAGAGGUUCAUGCGUUCGAAUCGCAUCCCUCGCA